rnacentral:rRNA from 1 species
UGGGGAAUCUUGCGCAAUGGCCGCAAGGCUGACGCAGCGACGCCGCGUGUGGGAGGACGCCCUUCGGGGUGUAAACCACUGUUGCCCGGGACGAACUGGCUCUUUCGAGGGCCCUGACGGUACCGGGUGAGGAAGCACCGGCCAACCCCGUGCCAGCAGCCGCGGUAAUACGGAGGGUGCGAGCGUUGUCCGGAAUCAUUGGGCGUAAAGGGCGCGUAGGUGGCCCGGUUAGUCCGUGGUGAAAGCGCGGGGCUCAACCCUGCGUCGGCCAUGGAUACUGCCGCGGCUGGAGCACUGUAGAGGCAGGCGGAAUUCCGGGUGUAGCGGUGGAAUGCGUAGAGAUCCGGAAGAACACCGGUGGCGAAGGCGGCCUGCUGGGCAGUGGCUGACACUGAGGCGCGACAGCGUGGGGAGCAAA